CCAGGUUGGAUGACCCGACCGUUUUGGCUCUGGCGGUGCUGAUGCUGUGAUGUUUGCGGUCUGCCCUUGCUGUCGUGCGAUGGUGUUAAGUUCACCCCGGCAACAGUGGACUGUUCUUCGCCUCCAUGGUAUAGGACCAAGUGUUGUUGCAUCAAGGCUAAUCCCCUCGCUUUCUAAGAUGCUCAAAAGAGAACAAAAGAGUGGAUGACCUGGACAGUCUCCACCUCAAGGGACAUUAAACACAAAAGGCCGACAACCGCAAAAGAAGCAUAUGUGUUCAUUAAAAUGAAGAUGUCUACCGAUGACAUCUGCCUCGUUGAACUCUAG